AUUGAACGCUGGCGGCAGGCCUAACACAUGCAAGUCGAACGAGUGGCGGACGGGUGAGUAAUGUCUGGGAAACUGCCCGAUGGAGGGGGAUAACUACUGGAAACGGUAGCUAAUACCGCAUACCAUCGGAUGUGCCCAGAUGGGAUUAGCUAGUAGGUGGGGUAACGGCUCACCUAGGCGACGAUCCCUAGCUGGUCUGAGAGGAUGACCGGCCACCCUGGACCGGAGACACGGUCCAGACUCCGACGGGGGGCAGCAGUGGGGAAAAUUGCAAAAUGGGCGCAAGCCUGAUACAGCCAUGCCGGGUGUGUGAAGAAGGCCUUCGGGUUGUAAAGUACUUUCAGCGAGGAGGCGUUACUCGCAGAAGAAGCACCGGCUAACUCCGUGCCAGCGGCCGCGGUAAUAC
rnacentral:rRNA from 1 species